CAGGUUUAGCAGGAAGAAGCGCCACAGCCGUGCUGUAGGGCUUCCGUGUCACUGGAAACCUACUUCCGAUUUCAAAAGGGAAAUGAAGUCUAGGAGCCUCUUUCUUAACCAAUCCCCGGAAAUCUCAGGCCCGCGACACGGGAGAAGCCAGAGCUCCUUCCUUCCUGGUUCCGAAGUGGCGUCUGGGUCUUAGAGCGCCGUUAGCCAUUUCUCCACUUGUGAUCCCGGCAGUACCCGGUGCUGAGAACACAGCUACAUCCAUGGACGGGAUGAACAAGGCAGAACUCCAGCAGUCAUGUGGUGAGCUCCGUCAGAUGGGCUGUAAGUUGCCACGUGUAAGGGGGUGGGCCCCAGGCGCAGAGAUUCUGAUUUUCAAGAGACCAGGGGUGGCACCCAGGUAUCUGCAUUUUAAGAGCUAUGGAUAGUCCACUGACCAAAGUUUGAGAAACAUUGACUUUCUGGCUUUUUGGCCUUGGACAUGUUAAUUAAGCUAAGUCUCAAUUUUCUUUGCAGAAAAUGAGGAGAAUUAAAUGAAAUGCAAGGGUAAAUGGGGUGUAAACUGGGUGCUUCCUGAGCACAAGGUGGUUGGCAUUAGAUGUGCUCACCAAAUGCUGGCUUUUUCUUUCCUUGUCCUGGGGUGGCUGGGCUGCUGAAUGGGUUUGGAGGUGGGUGGUGAGGGAGUUUCACGAGGUGGUUGUGUGUGUCGGGCUGUCACAUGUGGUUGCACAACUCCAGGGGGUGCCAUCCUCAGAGAAUUCUCUAGAACCGUGGGAGACCCCAGUCCUUCACAGGACACAGAAUGAAGACGUUUGGGCUGGGGGCUCUGGAGAGGAACUUCGGGGACGUAGGGAACACUGAGUGACACACCAGCUUUUUGACAUAAUGCUAAGUCUGGUUCACCUCCUCCGGCUCAGGACAAAGUCUAGAACCUUUCUAAUAAUAGGGAAAAGGGCUGCUAAGUUCCCUUGAGUCACUGUCUCACCUCUCACUCCCCUGCUGGCCUGAGUGAAGAGGUAAACCAGCCUCUAUGUUUGGACAACGAAGUGGCCUGAUGUGCCGAUGGAGCGAGAAAAGGCUGCCCAGCUUCUAUGACUAUUCUUUGCUGUCCUAUGGUCCUGGCUAUGACAGCGCAGGGACUUGGUCCAUGGUGUCCAGGCCCCUGGACCAGUUCUGCCAAAGUCCCUGGAGAUAGUAACCUGAUAGUAAAGGGGCUGGGCCCCUUACUACUUGGAGAGUCAGAG
rnacentral:lncRNA from 1 species